AACGAACGCUGGCGGCAUGCCUAACACAUGCAAGUCGAACGAGACCUUCGGGUCUAGUGGCGCACGGGUGCGUAACGCGUGGGAACCUGCCCUUAGGUUCGGAAUAACUCCCCGAAAGGGGUGCUAAUACCGGAUAAUGUCUUCGGACCAAAGAUUUAUCGCCUUUGGAUGGGCCCGCGUUGGAUUAGCUAGUUGUUAGGGUAAAAGCCUACCAAGGCGACGAUCCAUAGCUGGUCUGAGAGGAUGAUCAGCCACACUGGGACUGAGACACGGCCCAGACUCCUACGGGCGGCAGCAGUGGGGAAUAUUGGACAAUGGGCGAAAGCCUGAUCCAGCAAUGCCGCGUGAGUGAUGAAGGCCUUAGGGUUGUAAAGCUCUUUUACCCGGGAUGAUAAUGACAGUACCGGGAGAAUAAGCUCCGGCUAACUCCGUG
rnacentral:rRNA from 1 species